UGGCCGUCCGAGUUGUAAUCUAGAGAAGUGUUACCCGCGUCGGACCGUGUACAAGUCUCCUGGAAUGGAGCGUCAUAGAGGGUGAGAAUCCCGUCUUUGACACGGACUACCGAGGCUUCUGUGGUGCUCUCAAAGAGUCGAGUUGUUUGGGAAUGCAGCUCAAAAUGGGUGGUAAAUUCCAUCUAAAGCUAAAUAUUGGCGAGAGACCGAUAGCGAACAAGUACCGUGAGGGAAAGAUGAAAAGAACUUUGGAAAGAGAGUUAAACAGUACGUGAAAUUGCUGAAAGGGAAACGCUUGAAGUCAGUCGCGUUGUCCGGGAAUCAGCCUUCCUUCUGGUUGGCGUACUUCCUGGUCGACGGGCCAGCAUCAGUUUUGACUGGUGGAAAAAGUCGUAGGGAAUGUGGCACCUCCGGGUGUGUUAUAGCCCUGCUUCGUAUACAUCGGUUGGGACUGAGGAACUCAGCACGCCGCAAGGCCGGGAUUCGUCCACGUUCGUGCUUAGGAUGCUGGCAUAAUGGCUUUAAUCGACCCGUCUUGAAACACGGACCAAGGAGUCUAACAUGCCUGCGAGUGUUUGGGUGGAAAACCCGAGCGCGUAAUGAAAGUGAAAGUUGAGAUCCCUGUCAUGGGGAGCAUCGACGCCCGGACCAGACGUUCUCUGACGGUUCUGCGGUAGAGCAUGUAUGUUGGGACCCGAAAGAUGGUGAACUAUGCCUGAAUAGGGUGAAGCCAGAGGAAACUCUGGUGGAGGCUCGUAGC
rnacentral:rRNA from 1 species